GGUGCGAUGGCCGAACGGUUAGGCAGGCGCCUGCAGAGCGUCUCAAGGGGGUUCGACUCCCCCUCGCACCUCCA
rnacentral:tRNA from 1 species